CAGUUCAGUGAUGAGAUUUUUGCCGCCCCAGUCUGAUUUUCUGUGGUGAAUGGCUUAAAAAUUCUGAUUUCAA
rnacentral:snoRNA from 1 species